GACGAGGGGUCCUAGCGUUGUUCGGAAUCACUGGGCGUAAAGCGUCUGUAGGCGGGCUUUUAAGUCAGGUGUGAAAUCCCACGGCUCAACCGUGGAAUUGCAUUUGAGACUGGAAGUCUUGAGUGUGGGAGAGAUUGGUAGAAUACCUGGUGUAGUGGUGAAAUACGUAGAUAUCAGGUGGAAUACCGGUGGCGAAGGCGGCCAAUUGGCCCAACACUGACGCUGAGGCGCGAAAGCCAGGGGAGCAAACGGG
rnacentral:rRNA from 1 species